GGCCAGGACAGCUGACCUGAACCGGCCAAAGGGAUAUUCCAUACCAUAGAGCAUUAUUCCCAGUAUAUAAACUGCGAGGAGUUGACCAGAGGGAGACUGGCUGGGCAUCAUUCUGUGAGUGGUCUGGAAAUAUCCUGCACACUUCACUUGCCCUCUUCAAAGUUUUAAGCAACUGAGAGCUGAUAAACCUAGCUUGGACAUCAAGGGUAACUGAACAGAGAGCCAAAUCUAACUGAAGCUUUUGUGUUUAAGUUCACAUUCAUGACCAAAGUUUUAAUGCAGUCUACAGCAUGAAGAGGCCAAUCCUUGCCAGCAGAACCAAGUUUUGAAAAACACUGCUCCACCAUAUGUUCAGUCCUGACCAGCGUGAUAGUUCGGAGGCUGACAUCUGCAGAUGGGGAGUUCAUACCACCACUCAGCACAAACAUGCUGCUACUGUACACUGAAGUCAAUACUAGCCAGACUUUGCUUAGGAGAAAUUUUCAACACUGAUCUACAGUUUCACCUUGCCAACUAAUUUUUGUUACACUGGUGUAAAUGUAGUAGAUAUAAAAAGAAUCUCAGAGAAAAAUGGUGGUGCUGAUUGAAAAAGGGAGUCCCUGUGAAUCCUUUUGGUAAUCUCCUUUAGAAGGAAAACUCUUCUGUAUCAGAUAUUGCAUUGAAGCUGUUGGUGUAAUAGAAAACACUUGCUAAUGUUACAUAUGAUGGACCUUCAGGCAAGGCCACUGAACUCUAUUGGGCCUGUAGGGUCAUGCACUUCAAGGAUACAAUGUCCUUAAACAGUCCCCUGAACUUCUCUGAAGACCCAGUUAACCCAGUUUUUCUCUGAACAAGAUAUAUCAACCUUGCAAUAAGCACUGCAUGAACCAAAGUCUUUCCUGCCUUUUCUGAUGCCCUUCUUAAAGCAGCAAGAAUACUCUGCUUAAAUGUUUGUGGGAGUGGCAUUGGUACUUCUACAGAAGCACUAAGAUAAAAUGCAUUUUCCAUGCUACUUUUACUUUUUCUCCCCCUUGCUCCUCUCUCAUUCCAUCUGCAGCUCCUCAUGCAGUCCAAACACUUUUUCCAGGGCUUAAGCAGAUUUAUGGCUAGCAAUUUCCACAGGGACUGUGUGCAUGUUCUCUCAGGCAUGCCUAGGCACCAACACUCAUCAGAGGGCUGGAAAUCAAAAUCUGUGUCAGUUGUGCCACUGGCAGUGAAAUUCCAUGAGUUCACGUUUGUUGUGUCCCUCAUUCAGGCCUUUACUGUAUAGUAGUGCCCUUCUUCAAAAGGCUGUAUCUAAAGCCUCUGUGUGAAUUUCCUUUAAAAUGUUCUGCAGUCUCAUCUUAUAUGCACAUCUACCAUUGAUUAUUAAAUGGGAGAGUAAAUGGAAUCAUUUUCCUUUAUUAUGUUGCUCUGAAACUGAAAUGGACAAUGUCUGGACUCAUUCAUUCAUAGUAAUGUAAAUUCAUAGUAGAAAGACCUUAGAUGUGCAGUUAUAUGAAUUUCACUCAGAACUUUUCCUGCAUCAAAUUUGAAUCAUGCCUGAGCAUCAAACAGUUCAAAACAAUGGUAACUACAACACUGACUUUGCAAAUUCUAUUAUAUUGAGUAAAUUCAGCUUCCUAAUUUUUAUAGAUAUCAGCUACCUAAUUUCUUUUCAGUGUAGAUAAAAACCUCUCUCAUCCCACUUCUGAUCACUAAUGAUGCUGCUCAUCACCCUAACUGUUUUGCUAAAAAAAUUAAGGGAACAGCCAAAUAAUGAAGGGGACCAUUAUUAGCCCAACUAUACUGCAAGAACUGGUGUUUUGAAUAAGUGGGUAACCAGAUUUGCCCAACAUCUGAUGUAAGAUGAAAGACAGGCAAUCAGAGUACUUGCAAGUUGAAGACUCCCUAUUAAUAAGAUGUUUGCAAGUCUCUGCC